GACAGAGGGUGCCAACGUUGUUCGGAAUUACUGGGCGUAAAGCGCGUGUAGGCGGCUUGUGCAAGUCGGGUGUGAAAGCCCCAGGCUCAACCUGGGAAGUGCAUUCGAUACUGCGAAGCUGGAGUCCCGGAGAGGGUGGUGGAACUCUCGGUGUAGAGGUGAAAUUCGUAGAGAUCGAGAAGAACACCGGUGGCGAAGGCGGCCACCUGGACGGAGACUGACGCUGAGACGCGAAAGCGUGGGGAGCAAACAGG
rnacentral:rRNA from 1 species